CCUACGGGAGGCAGCAGUGAGGAAUAUUGGUCAAUGGACGAGAGUCUGAACCAGCCAAGUAGCGUGAAGGAUGACUGCCCUAUGGGUUGUAAACUUCUUUUAUAUGGGAAUAAAAUGUUCCACGUGUGGGAUUUUGUCUGUACCAUAUGAAUAAGGAUCGGCUAACUCCGUGCCAGCAGCCGCGGUAAUACGGAGGAUCCGAUCGUUAUCCGGAUUGAUUGGGUUUAAAGGGAGCGUAGGUGGAUUGUUAAGUCAGUUGUGAAAGUUUGCGGCUCAACCGUAAAAUUGCAGUUGAAACUGGCAGUCUUGAGUACAGUAGAGGUGGGCGGAAUUCGUGGUGUAGCGGUGAAAUGCUUAGAUAUCACGAAGAACUCCGAUUGCGAAGGCAGCUCACUGGACUGCAACUGACACUGAGGCUCGAAAGUGUGGGUAUCAAACAGGAUUAGAUACCCGGGUAGUC
rnacentral:rRNA from 1 species